rnacentral:lncRNA from 1 species
GGACCCGGCUCCUACAGUCCUUCGUGGGUGAGAAGUACCUGCUACAGAUUUACUGCUUCAGAUUCAGGUUCUUCUUACCAUCAUGUCCCAAAGAUCUGACACUUGUGAGAGGAUAGAGAUACUUGGUCCGAACCAGCAAUCCCCAGAUGAAAGAAAUUCACAGGAAGAAGAGAAAGCCAGAACAGCAGAUUUUGGUUAGCUCUUUAUGGAGUCUGCUGCCAGUGCUUUCUGCUAUCAGUGCCCAAACAUCUGUACUGGGGACAUCACACAAGCUGACAGUCAGAUACUGGUAUCUGCAAUAAUGUUUCCAGGUGCUGGCAUUUCCCCUGAUGAGCUACUGGUCUCUCUAGAGAUGGCAUCCCUUCCGAAUGUGGCUGCUGUGAUUAUUUCAGGGCUGGAGGCAGAUUUCCCUGAGGAACAGAGGAAUUGUGCCAGCAGAUGUGGAACAUGAUGGGAACUUAAAGCAAAGCCUUUGAGAUGCCAGAGGAGAACCACUACAAUUGCAGGAGAACCACUACAAUUGCAGGAGAACCACUACAAUUGCAGCGCAUCAUUCUCCCCUUCUUCUGAACGUGCUGUUCCGACAAACCCAGUGAGGCUGAAUCAAAUCUGCCACCGCUCUAGGGCUGAACCCACGUGUUCUGAGAGUUGACAUUUGGAGGAAGGUCUUCAGAAACCAGAGUUCAGCAACCCCACACCAUUUCUGACACUGGAGGUAAGGGAUCCGGCCACGUUUUCGUGCUCUCUUUGCUCCUCUUGAAGUGUUGGUCUCCCGUUCCUUAAUGUACAAGCUGUCCCCAAAUAAAAUGGUGUCACUCAAAUACCA